GACGAACGCUGGCGGCGUGCUUAACACAUGCGAGUCGAACGGAAAGGCCCUGCUCUUGUGGGGUGCUCGAGUGGCGAACGGGUGAGUAACACGUGAGUAACCUGCCCUUGACUUUGGGAUAACUUCAGGAAACUGGGGCUAAUACCGGAUAGGAGCUCCUGCUGCAUGGUGGGGGUUGGAAAGUUUCGGCGGUUGGGGAUGGACUCGCGGCUUAUCAGCUUGUUGGUGGGGUAGUGGCUUACCAAGGCUUUGACGGGUAGCCGGCCUGAGAGGGUGACCGGCCACAUUGGGACUGAGAUACGGCCCAGACUCCUACGGGAGGCAGCAGUGGGGAAUAUUGCACAAUGGGCGGAAGCCUGAUGCAGCAACGCCGCGUGCGGGAUGACGGCCUUCGGGUUGUAAACCGCUUUCGCCUGUGACGAAGCGUGAGUGACGGUAAUGGGUAAAGAAGCACCGGCUAACUACGUG
rnacentral:rRNA from 1 species